CUACCGACUUCUGGGCGUCUGCCUCCGCUGGCCCUUUAUCUCCAGCCGUGGUCUUCCCCUUUUCUUCUCUUCGGGCUCCGGGUCCAGCUCCUCCUUUUCCUCCUGCGACCCAAGCAUCUUGACCUGGCGUCACCCACGGCACUGUCUCCAUGAAUCAUAGGUCGCAAACUCCAUCGUCUUGGAGAGGGCAGGACUCGGCAGUGCUCACAGGAGGUUGGGCCACCAAGGGAAGCUCCUACUUCAGGAUUUGAGCCCAAUCAUUUACAGCUAAUGAAGGGCUUUGGGCUCCACUGUGUGAUUGAAUUCUGAGCUACCUGUGAGGAACCCAGACUCAGAGGUGACUGCCUUGCCCAGGGUCACACAGUGACCCACGAGGUUGUCAGGAAUGGGCCUGGUGUGGCUGAAGAAGGAGACCCCACCUGUCAAGACUGCUCAGAGUGGGCAGCUGGUUACGUUUCCUAGCCCUGUUCUUGAAGCCCUUCCGUCUCUCUCUAACCAUCAGGGUCACUCUGUCCCCAGGUUGUCACAAGAAACUAUUGGAGCUACUAUGUCCUGGAGUUGUUUUUGCCCUGCCCUGCCAGCCCCAGAGGAAUGCUUCCCUGGCACCUCUCUGGGCUGGGAGAUGGGUCCCCCCCCUUUGUGGCAGGGAGCAUGACAGUCUGUCAGGGAGAGACUCUCCUCCUCUCCUGAUGUAGGAAUUCCCUGGGAGCAACUGAGGGUCGGGGGCAGAAAUGGUAGGUUAAUUGGCAGCAGGUGAUGCCCCGGGGGCUCCUCAUUCAUUCAUUCCACAAAGAUUUAUUAAGCGCUUACUAUGUACCAGGCACUGUUCUAGGCACUGGGGAUACAGUCAUGAGCUAGCAGACAAUGCCUCUCCCUUGUGGAGCUAAUAUUCUAGUGAAAAGAGACAGACAAUAAAGAACAGACAUAUGUAAAUCAUA